rnacentral:rRNA from 1 species
AGUGAACGCUGGCGGUAGGCCUAACACAUGCAAGUCGAACGGCAGCACAGUAAGAGCUUGCUCUUACGGGUGGCGAGUGGCGGACGGGUGAGGAAUACAUCGGAAUCUACUUUUUUGUGGGGGAUAACGUAGGGAAACUUACGCUAAUACCGCAUACGACCUACGGGUGAAAGCAGGGGAUCUUCGGACCUUGCGCGAUUGAAUGAGCCGAUGUCGGAUUAGCUAGUUGGCGGGGUAAAGGCCCACCAAGGCGACGAUCCGUAGCUGGUCUGAGAGGAUGAUCAGCCACACUGAAACUGAGACACGGUCCAGACUCCUACGGGAGGCAGCAGUGGGGAAUAUUGGACAAUGGGCGCAAGCCUGAUCCAGCCAUACCGCGUGGGUGAAGAAGGCCUUCGGGUUGUAAAGCCCUUUUGUUGGGAAAGAAAAGCAGCAGGUUAAUACCCCGCUGUUCUGACGGUACCCAAAGAAUAAGCACCGGCUAACUUCGUG